GGAUGUUGUGAUAUCAUCCCAGCAAGACCUUUUUGUCAAUGCUUGAUCUUGAUCUGAAACUGAGCCGGGUUGGGCCUGGUUAGUACUUGGAUGGGAAAUCCGUUGUGAAUAGCAGGUGCCACACUAU
rnacentral:rRNA from 1 species